rnacentral:rRNA from 1 species
UACGUAGGGUGCGAGCGUUGUCCGGAAUUAUUGGGCGUAAAGAGCUCGUAGGCGGUGUGUCACGUCGGCCGUGAAAACCUGCAGCUUAACUGUGGGCGUGCGGUCGAUACGGGCAUCACUGGAGUUCGGCAGGGGAGACUGGAAUUCCUGGUGUAGCGGUGAAAUGCGCAGAUAUCUGGAGGAACACCGGUGGCGAAGGCGACAUCCUGGACCGGUAUUGACGCUGAGGCGCGAAAGCCAGGGGAGCAAACGGG